AUAAAACAUAAUAUACUUUAUACUAGCUAACUGAGCUAAAUGUUUUGUUCAUGAAUUAUUUUUCAAAGUAUUUAAUAAUAAUAUUUCUAUUUUUAUGAUUAAAUAUUAAUUUAAAAACAACCAACUAUUACUAAGCGAGAAUUCCAAGAUUAUUUUACACCAGCUGAACAUAUUUAAAUGAUUAUAAUAUUUCAGUUUUGUCUUCUUCUGAUCGCAUUGGGUUUAAGUUAGCACAUAUGGAAAAUUUAAACCAAGUAUUUAAUGCUAAUAAAAGCACGUUGUCAACACUCGUGGUUUCAUUAAGACAGGCUAUAUCACUCUCAAACAAAACCAAUUGAUAUUACAAGAAAAAUAGUAUCUACAGAGGUAUUUUAUAAAAUUAUGAACAAUUUUAACUUAUAGUCUAUUCAGAAUAAGAAUGCUCACUUUCGAGCAUGCAUACUGUGAGCCGCCGGAACGGCUUGACCCCCCUGAUGAGAUUCAGGUGUGCUGUGAUUGGUCGUCAUUGUCGACAACUGCCAUUACCCAUCCCGGUUGACAGCCGCCACCGUGUAUACAGCGGAUAAACACAUAAACCAUGAAUAGCACAGUAUUGUGAAAACGAAAUAUUAUAGUUCACUUCGUAACAAUUGUUGCAUGUGCAUGACGGCAAUCAUCAGCGCAUACCAUGGCAACAAACGUGCGCGAACAAAACGAGUUUAGGGAUGAUCGAGUGGGCAUUCUUAUUCUGAAUAGACUUUAAUAAACAAUUAUAAAAUUAAAUAUAUUAAUAAUAAGUUUUAUGGUUAUAUGCUAUCAUGUAUAUAUAUAUGUAUUUAUUUUUAUGUAUGAAAGUAUUUACAAGAUCUAAUUAAAUAUAUAUAAUGUUUACAUGGGGUUCCAUCUUACAGAGAUGGUAUAACAUGAUUUAAUAUAAUCUAAUUUAAAAAUUUCUUUCUUGGUAAAAAUAGAUUUAAUUUUAUAUUUUACAAUAUAUACAUAUAUACAUUCACAAAAGUAUUUAUUAGUUAAAAAAGAUUGUAGAUAUCUAUGAUAUAAUAAUUAUAGUAUUUUUUUUUUGUAAUACAAUUAUUAAUAAUCAAAUUUAUAAUGUCCAUGAGUAGAUAUGAAUUAUAUCAGUUUUUGCUAUACACUCAUCAUUUUGUUGGUCGAAGCAUAAUUUUUUGGAUUUUAUCGUUCGUAUUUUAUACGGUUGAAUGAUUGUAAUUUGUUAUAUUAUGUAGAAGACAUGGGUUGAAAUUCAAUUUUUUUAGCUUAAGAUACAGGUAUUACAAACCAUUUAUCUAAAUUUUCCUGGUAAAUGGCAGUGAUCUGCCACUUUUUGGUUUUUGUUGGUAAAUAUAGACUUGCAUAAGUUCCAUAUAA